rnacentral:rRNA from 1 species
GACGAACGCUGGCGGCGUGCUUAACACAUGCAGGUCGAACGAUGAAGCUGGAGCUUGCUCCGGUGGAUUAGUGGCGAACGGGUGAGUAACACGUGAGCAAUCUGCCCUUGACUCUGGGAUAACUGCGGGAAACUGUAGCUAAUACCGGAUACGAGGCUCGAAGGCAUCUUCGGGUCUGGAAAGAAUUUCGGUCAAGGAUGAGCUCGCGGCCUAUCAGCUUGUUGGUGAGGUAAUGGCGAACCAAGGCGACGACGGGUAGCCGGCCUGAGAGGGGGACCGGCCUGAAUGGGACUGAGACACGGCCCGUACUCCUACGGGAGGCAGCAGUGGGGAAUAUUGCACAAUGGGCGAAAGCCUGAUGCAGCAACGCCGCGUGAGGGAUGAAGGCCUUCGGGUUGUAAACCUCUUUUAGCAGGGAAGAAGCGAAAGUGACGGUACCUGCAGAAAAAGCACCGGCUAACUACGUGCCAGCCGCCGCGGUAA